rnacentral:rRNA from 1 species
AUUGAACGCUGGCGGCAUGCCUUACACAUGCAAGUCGAACGGCAGCACGGGGGCAACCCUGGUGGCGAGUGGCGAACGGGUGAGUAAUGCAUCGGAACGUGCCCAGUAGGUGGGGGAUAACUAGUCGAAAGAUUAGCUAAUACCGCGAUACGACCGUACGGGUGAAAGGCGGGGGAUUCGCAAAGAACCUCGCGCUAUCGGAGCGGCCGAUGUCUGAUUAGCUA